GUUCGUUAGAUGUUUCUCCUUAACGUCUCCCCAACUUGGAUCGAGCUGAAACAAACAGGAGCUGAGGUUGCUUGUUUAAGUCAAAGCUUCAGGAGAUCACCAUAUUUUCAGGACCAGUAAUUUCUGUCUCAAGCUCACUGUCUGGUGCCGAGAUCCAUAGGAGAUAUCACCAACAUGAACUGGGCCAGAGAUCCACAUGCCAGAGUCUCAGCAGCUCUUGGAAAUGUCCGUGUAAGUGGUUUGUUGGGCAGGACCACAUGCCUUCCAGGUUCCUCUGAGGUUCUCAAGCCCACAUGAGGUGCCCCCGGCCCCGUGCUUCAUGCAGUGCUGCAAAAGGACCAGCACAGCCAAGCUGCUCUGUCUGUGGGACUUCCCAGUAAAGUUGGAAACAGCCACGAUAACAAAACCCAGGAGAAAACACCCCCUCUUCCAUCAAAAUGCAGACGAGCAGGCUUGGCUCAUUCGAAAGGUCAGCUCACUGCCAGUCCAUCAACUUCUCCAAGGUCAUGUACAUAGCCAGCAACAUUCUCAGGAAUACAUCCCAACUUUCCAAACUAACAGAUCUGUGCAGUAACCACUAAUCUUCCUGGCAGGGAUUUUUAUGGGCAAAAAGUUCCUCACUUUUUUUUCUUCAUCAAGAAAAGACAAGUUGCAUGCAUCAUAUGACUUGAAGACUUUUUUUCCCUUUAAAGCAAACUUGUCUUAAAAAAAUGGGCUGAAAGUUAUUCAAACAAGCUGAAAAGUACCAAGGAGAACUGUUUACUUUGCAAAACAUAGUCAUCUCAUGUCCAGGAGCCCUCACUAAUUUGAAAAGUUUCCACAUGACCUCAGAGUUUCUGGAGCACAUGUGAACCUUCUGCAGCAUCUGCUGCACAGGGUGGUAAAGAAAUUGCUGCCAUAGGCCCAUGGAAAUGGUAAUGAAGUUCUGUCUGACAAGUCUGAGAUGGCACAGCUGAGCAAGUUGUUUAAAAAAGCGUGCAUAUAACUCAUGUCCAGAGAUCUGUGGGUGUCCCAAUCCCCGAAGGUGCCCAAGGCCAGACUGGAUGGGGCUCUGUACAGCCUGAUCUGGUGGGGGGCAACCAGCCCACAGCUAGGGUUGGGGCUGGGUGAGCUUUAAGGUUCCCUCCAAAAUAAACUAUCGUAUGGUUCUGUGAUUCUAUGAUACGUGUUCUCACCUGAAAAACUCUGCUCCACACACACAGCCCAGCUGCUGGUCUCAGGGCUGUGGCCUGUGCUAGACACAGGGAGGUGUCCUGGGACUGGAUGUGGCCAGAAGUGCUGGUUGUCGGAGAAAUCAGGCCGUGCUUCUGCAGCCUCAUAGGAGGGGAAUGAGGAAAAUGGCGUUUCCAGGAGUUAGCCAACACCCCUGACCAGAGAAAGUCAAUCUCAUCGAUUAUUAUCUCUCCUUCUGGUGGCCCUCUCUAAUCUUUUCUGCUGGGGAAACUCCUCCCAAACGCCUCUUUGCUAAACAGCAAUUAAAGCGUGAGGACAUGAGCAACCCUGUGUUAUAAAAUGGCUGACAGGUCGCAGAGGACUGCCAGGCCUGGCUAUGAUAGUGCCCUCUGCCUUUUCUGACUGCUUUCAGGAGCCAAGAACAUCUGUCACUCAUCAGAGACCCCGUGAGGCUUCAUGUCCCCUUGUAACACCAUCCCAGGCCUUUAUGCAGUGCCUGAGCUCUCUGUGUGAGGCUGUGUGAUGGAGGCCAGGAGGCCGGUUCGGCCCUGCGGCGGAUGACAGCAUCAGCUCUCCAGAUACCAAUAUGGGACCAUUCUCCAAAACAUUUUGUGUUUGGCUGAGUGUGUGAGCUUGCAGGCAAAAGCUUCUCCUCUGCCGCUCUGUUUCUUGUACAUAUCAACAUGGACAGCUUCAUUU
ensembl:lncRNA